GAUGAACGCUGGCGGCGUGCCUAAUACAUGCAAGUCGAGCGAACGGACGAGAAGCUUGCUUCUCUGAUGUUAGCGGCGGACGGGUGAGUAACACGUGGAUAACCUACCUAUAAGACUGGGAUAACUUCGGGAAACCGUAGCUAAUACCGGAUAAUAUUUUGAACCGCAUGGUUCAAAAGUGAAAGACGGUCUUGCUGUCACUUAUAGAUGGAUCCGCGCUGCAUUAGCUAGUUGGUAAGGUAACGGCUUACCAAGGCAACGAUGCAUAGCCGACCUGAGAGGGUGAUCGGCCACACUGGAACGGAGACACGGUCCAGACUCCUACGGGAGGCAGCAGUAGGGAAUCUUCCGCAAUGGGCGAAAGCCUGACGGAGCAACGCCGCGUGAGUGAUGAAGGUCUUCGGAUCGUAAAACUCUGUUAUUAGGGAAGAACAUAUGUGUAAGUAACUGUGCACAUCGUGACGGUACCUAAUCAGAAAGCCACGGCUAACUACGUG
rnacentral:rRNA from 1 species